rnacentral:rRNA from 1 species
GCAUAUCAAUAAGCGGAGGAAAAGAAACCAACAGGGAUUGCCUCAGUAACGGCGAGUGAAGCGGCAAGAGCUCAAAUUUGAAAGCUGGCUCCUUCGGGGUCCGCAUUGUAAUUUGCAGAGGAUGCUUCGGGAGCGGUCCCCAUCUAAGUGCCCUGGAACGGGCCGUCAUAGAGGGUGAGAAUCCCGUAUGGGAUGGGGUGCCCGCGACCAUGUGAAGCUCCUUCGACGAGUCGAGUUGUUUGGGAAUGCAGCUCUAAAUGGGUGGUAAAUUUCAUCUAAAGCUAAAUAUUGGCCGGAGACCGAUAGCGCACAAGUAGAGUGAUCGAAAGAUGAAAAGCACUUUGAAAAGAGAGUUAAAAAGCACGUGAAAUUGUUGAAAGGGAAGCGCUUGCGACCAGACUCGCCCGCGGGGUUCAGCCGGUAUUCGUACCGGUGUACUUCCCCGUGGGCGGGCCAGCGUCGGUUUGGGCGGCCGGUCAAAGGCCCUCGGAAUGUAACGCCUCUCGGGGCGUCUUAUAGCCGAGGGUGCCAUGCGGCCAGCCCGGACCGAGGAACGCGCUUCGGCACGGACGCUGGCAUAAUGGUCGUAAGCGACCCGUCUUGAAACACGGACCAAGGAGUCUAACAUCUACGCGAGUGUUCGGGUGUCAAACCCGUGCGCGCAGUGAAAGCGAACGGAGGUGGGAACCCUUUGGGUGCACCAUCGACCGAUCCUGAUGUCUUCGGAUGGAUUUGAGUAAGAGCGUAGCUGUUGGGACCCGAAAGAUGGUGAACUAUGCCUGAAUAGGGCGAAGCCAGAGGAAACUCUGGUGGAGGCUCGCAGCGGUUCUGACGUGCAAAUCGAUCGUCAAAUUUGGGUAUAGGGGCGAAAGACUAAUCGAACCAUCUAGUAGCUGGUUCCUGCGA